rnacentral:rRNA from 1 species
UACGGAGGAUGCGAGCGUUAUCCGGAUUUAUUGGGUUUAAAGGGUGCGUAGGCGGGUUAUCAAGUCAGCGGUAAAAUCGUGGAGCUCAACCCCUUUAAGCCGUUGAAACUGGUGAUCUUGAGUGGGCGAGAAGUAUGCGGAAUGCGUGGUGUAGCGGUGAAAUGCAUAGAUAUCACGCAGAACUCCGAUUGCGAAGGCAGCAUACCGGCGCUCAACUGACGCUCAUGCACGAAAGUGUGGGUAUCGAACAGG